AACACUCAUGCACAAACUGUGAAGUCUGAAAGCAGAGCUCAAGCCCAGAGCAAACAAAGAGCAGGGGAUGAAUUCCAACGAGGGCAGCGCAGACGCUGCAGCUUGGCAGCUCAGGCUCUGCAAGAGGGCAAACAGAAGGAAAGGACUGAGUUGCUAAUUUUGGAUGGUCACAGGAGCUGCUCUGGAAAUGCCUGCAACAGCU
rnacentral:lncRNA from 13 species